UUUAGGCGAUGUCUAUGAGCGCCCCUUUUUUCGUUAAUAGACAUCGAUUUUAACAUCGUUUUUUAAAAUCCGAUGUUAAUAAACCCAAAUAAAAUAUUUUAAUUUUCCCCACAAGUCAAAAUCUGCCUAAGUGUUUUCCCUCCAAACCUAAAUCUUUAUCCCGCCCCUUCCUCCGCGCGACCAUCUCUCUCGCGAUAACCUAAACCGAAGCCUAAACCUCCGACCAUCCGACCAUCUCUCUCAGCCUAAACCUAAACCUCCGACCAUCUCUCUCAGCCUCAUCUCACUCUUCCCUUUCUUGAAUCUCUUCCCCUUCUUAAUCGUCUGAUUGCUAAAGGUUGAGGAUGGGGUUUGGGGUUAACCUCUCUAUAAAGCGCCGAAGCCUUUUCUUUUCCCCCGACUUUCUCCUCUGUUCUUCCUCUGCUUCUCGCGACUUCGGACUUCACGCGACCGAGACCGGCGAUUUCUUCUUCUCUCGGUGGCGCCGGCGAAGAGCGGACCUUGGAGCGUUGAGAGGAAGAGAGGUUAGUUACAGCCGAACCUUCUUUCUCCCCGAUCCCUUCCUCCCUUCUCUGAUCUCGGUGAACAACGGCGACGGAUCUCGAUCGGUGGAUUUCGCCGGAUGUCGGGAGGGAACCAAGGGCAUCGGCGUUGGAUCAGGCCAACAUCGAUUGUUUGGAGGAGGUAACAACCAUUGUUCCUUCCCGAUCUCUGUCCCUGUUCGUCGGCAAGAACAAGUCGUUGCCCUAACUUCGAUCUUGGAGAGACUGGUAUUUUGGUCCCGGCCACCACAGCUCUGUUGGAUCGAUCUCUUCUUCGUAUCAGUGAUCGUCUCCGGUGAUUGAAGGGCGCAGAGAGGAUGCGAUGUGCUUAUUUUAGAUACUGGAUUGGGAAGUGCAGAGAAUCAAGCAAGGGUCAAGGAGUUGCUUCAUGUGGAGGAAUCAAAACUAGAGGAGGAUGAGGGAGUGCCACAAGAAUGGAGUUAUGCACCGGGAUCUUAAACCUGAGAACUUCUUGUUUGGGAACAAAAGGGAAAAUGCCCCAUUGAAGACGAUUGACUUCGGGUUGUCUGUGUUUUUCAGACCUGGUGAGCGCUUUAACGAAAU